UACGUAGGGUGCAAGCGUUGUCCGGAAUUAUUGGGCGUAAAGAGCUCGUAGGCGGUUUGUCGCGUCUGCUGUGAAAACCUAAGGCUCAACCUGGGCUUGCAGUGGGUACGGGCAGACUAGAGUGUGGUAGGGGAGACUGGAAUUCAUGGUGUAGCAGUGAAAUGCGUAGAGAUCAUGAGGAAGACCAGUGGCGAAGGCGGGUCUCUGGACAGUUCCUGACACUGAGACACGAAGGCCCAGGGGGAGCAAAACAGG
rnacentral:rRNA from 1 species